rnacentral:rRNA from 1 species
UAGAGUUUCCUUCUGGCUCAGGAUGAACGCUAGCUACAGGCUUAACACAUGCAAGUCGAGGGGCAGCAGGACGGUAGCUUGUUACUGUCGCUGGCGACCGGCGCACGGGUGAGUAACGCGUAUCCAACCUUCCCCUGAGUAGGGAAUAGCCCGGCGAAAGUCGGAUUAAUGCCCUAUGUUGUCCGACGAUAGCAUUUGAAUUGGAUGAAAGAUUUAUCGCUCAGGGAUGGGGAUGCGUCUGAUUAGGUUGCAGGCGGGGUAACGGCCCACCUGGCCGACGAUCAGUAGGGGUUCUGAGAGGAAGGUCCCCCACAUUGGAACUGAGACACGGUCCAAACUCCUACGGGAGGCAGCAGUGAGGAAUAUUGGUCAAUGGGCGAGAGCCUGAACCAGCCAAGUAGCGUGCAGGAAGACGGCCCUAUGGGUUGUAAACUGCUUUUGGAGGGGAAUAAAGUGGCGUACGUGUACGCCUUUGUAUGUACCCUCAGAAUAAGGACCGGCUAAUUCCGUGCCAGCAGCCGCGGUAAUACGGAAGGUCCGGGCGUUAUCCGGAUUUAUUGGGUUUAAAGGGGAGCGCAGGCCGCCGAUUAAGCGUGACGUGAAAUGUCCCGGCUCAACCGGGGAGUUGCGUCGCGAACUGGUUGGCUUGAGUGCGGACGAGGUAUGCGGAAUUCGUGGUGUAGCGGUGAAAUGCUUAGAUAUCACGAAGAACCCCGAUUGCGAAGGCAGCGUACCAGGCCGUAACUGACGCUAAUGCUCGAAGGUGCGGGUAUCGAACAGGAUUAGAUACCCUGGUAGUCCGCACGGUAAACGAUG